AUUGAACGCUGGCGGCAGGCCUAACACAUGCACGUCGAACGAGUGGCGGACGGGUGAGUAAUGUCUGGGAAACUGCCCGAUGGAGGGGGAUAACUACUGGAAACGGUAGCUAAUACCGCAUACCAUCGGAUGUGCCCAGAUGGGAUUAGCUAGUAGGUGGGGUAAUGGCUCACCUAGGCGACGAUCCCUAGCUGGUCUGAGAGGAUGACCAGACACAAGGGAACGGAGACACGGUCCAGACUCCUACGGGAGGCAGCAGUGGGGAAUAUUGCACAAUGGGCGCAAGCCUGAUGCAGCCAUGCCGCGUGUAUGAAGAAGGCCUUCGGGUUGUAAAGUACUUUCAGCGGGGAGGCGUUACCCGCAGAAGAAGCACCGGCUAACUCCGUGCCAGCAGCCGCGGUAAUAC
rnacentral:rRNA from 1 species